GGAGUGUGCUGAGGAUAAAUCUGUAUUAUUCCACUGGCUUCAAUUGUGUUACACCAAUUUACACCACCUAAGAAUCUGACCUGUUGAGAAAGGAAAGUCAUGAGCAUCACCAGAUCUAAUCUACAAAUCUAUACUGGGAAAGCAAGAUUGGGAUAGAAUUGGACUUAUUUUAUCACAGUAGCAUUGCUGCACGUGUUGGCAGGUUUGACAGCAACAGCGCUGGAUUUCAGCAAGACAGAAGAAGAAGAAUUUCCAUAAGUUGCUCCUGAAUCAGUUGGAAGCAAUGGGGAAAUUAAUAGUAAUGAGUGAAUCUCAAUAGACUCUUACUCAUUACUGUGUUAGCUGCCAGCUCUUUCCUGCAGCUGUAGCCGUGCUGGAAGCUGGGUGAUGCUCUUAGCUAACAGAAGAGCCACUUGGACAUCUAUUGAUAUAUAAAGGAGUGUCAUCACAGGACCACAAGGAUCCUUCCUUCAGAUCAGUGGCCUAAAUAAACAUUCGGAGCAACAAUGGCAGGUAAAGAAACUCUGUGCUGAGAGCAGGUUAGAACAGCUCAGUCAAAGCCUUACUGUACAUGCAGCCACCUGC